UACAGAGGGUGCAAGCGUUAAUCGGAAUUACUGGGCGUAAAGUGUGCGCAGGCGGCCGCGCAAGUCGAGUGUGAAAUCCCCGAGCUUAACUUGGGAAUUGCGCUCGAAACUACGUGGCUGGAGUGUGGCAGAGGAAGGUGGAAUUCCACGUGUAGCGGUGAAAUGCGUAGAUAUGUGGAGGAACACCGAUGGCGAAGGCAGCCUUCUGGGCCAACACUGACGCUCAUGCACGAAAGCGUGGGGAGCAAACAGG
rnacentral:rRNA from 1 species